CUUUUGAUGGCGACCGGCGCACGGGUGAGUAACACGUAUCCAACCUGCCGAUGACUCGGGGAUAGCCUUUCGAAAGAAAGAUUAAUACCCGAUGGCAUAGUUCUUCCGCAUGGUAGAACUAUUAAAGAAUUUCGGUCAUCGAUGGGGAUGCGUUCCAUUAGGUUGUUGGCGGGGUAACGGCCCACCAAGCCUUCGAUGGAUAGGGGUUCUGAGAGGAAGGUCCCCCACAUUGGAACUGAGACACGGUCCAA
rnacentral:rRNA from 1 species